CACAAGAUUGCUCCUUCACUCUAGGGCUCCUCCCCUGCCCUACACCCCCUGUCAACAUGACUGAUGAAUUCAAUAUCCCUUUCUCUCUAGCUGACAGCUCAGUGAGCUGACUCCAAUCAGCAGGACCCCCUGGUCGCCUGCUGCAGGCCUCCCUAAUCACAGGCAGAGGCUGCUGUGGACAGACAGAUGGGUCUGCAGAGGCCAGUAAGCUCUGUCUCUCUGGAGAACCUUGGUUAGAGCAGAGGGUAAGAAGGAAAGUACUCUUGCUGAACCCAUACAGGCCAGGAGCUGACCCAGUCCUCACAAACCCACCUGCCUUUUCCUAA
rnacentral:lncRNA from 1 species